UGGGCAUGAUGACAUGUGACUUAGUUAUUUGCACAGUGAAUAAUUAGGUUUGUGAAUAGAAUGAGAAUAUCUAUUUACCGCAUGUAACACAUAAGGAAUUGGGAUUGUAAAGAGUUUAAUUUAAUUGUUUUGCAUAGGGAUAUAGCAAAAUUAACUUGGAUUAAAUAGAAGGCAAAUGAUCACUUGAGAAAGGGCUUUUG
rnacentral:lncRNA from 1 species